rnacentral:rRNA from 1 species
UGAGGAACAUGACUUUCGGCGGGGGAGUAGCCGGCCCAACGGCCGGGUAAUACCGCGUACGAUCCAAUGGAGACAUCUCCGCUGGGUGAAAGCAGCAAUGCACCGAAAGAGUGCCUCGCGGCCUAUCAGCUAGUUGGUGAGGUAACGGCUCACCAAGGCGACGACGGGUAGCUGGUCUGAGAGGAUGGCCAGCCACAGUUGGGACUGAGAUACCGGCCCAGACCUGUACCGGGGAGG